AACGCUAAAAUUAUUUAUAGAGCAAUUAUUAUCAGUUGUAUUAUUCAAUUGGUAGCGCCAUGCACUGUUAAUUGCCGUGAGACUUCAGGGCCCGUGUGUGGCUACAACGGCACCUGCUAUUAUACAUUCAUCAAUCAUUGUGUUAUAAAGCAAGCGAAUUGUCUUCUUAAGACUGCAUUUCGGCAAAUCGCUAGAACCGCCUGCACCACCACCCAACUUGCUAUUUGUAAAGUACAUAAAGUUAAACAGCAUCUAAUGUAGAGAAUAAAAUGUUGUGCAUGAGUAUAAUAAACAACAACCUAGCUUGAUUUAUAAAUAUAAAACAUUCUUUAUGGAAUUAUUUGCAUUCCUGA